GAUGAACGCUGGCGGCGUGCUUAACACAUGCAAGUCGAACGAAGCACUUUAUUUGAUUUCCUUCGGGACUGAUUAUUUUGUGACUGAGUGGCGGACGGGUGAGUAACGCGUGGGUAACCUGCCUUGUACAGGGGGAUAACAGUUGGAAACGGCUGCUAAUACCGCAUAAGCGCACAGCAUCGCAUGAUGCAGUGUGAAAAACUCCGGUGGUAUAAGAUGGACCCGCGUUGGAUUAGCUAGUUGGUGAGGUAACGGCCCACCAAGGCGACGAUCCAUAGCCGACCUGAGAGGGUGACCGGCCACAUUGGGACUGAGACACGGCCCAAACUCCUACGGGAGGCAGCAGUGGGGAAUAUUGCACAAUGGGCGAAAGCCUGAUGCAGCGACGCCGCGUGAGCGAAGUAGUAUUUCGGUAUGUAAAGCUCUAUCAGCAGGGAAGAUAAUGACGGUACCUGACGAAGAAGCACCGGCUAAAUACGUG
rnacentral:rRNA from 1 species